rnacentral:rRNA from 1 species
CGCGUGGGUAACCUGCCCUAUACACAUGCAUAACAUACUGAAAAGUUUACUAAUACAUGAUAAUAUAUAUUUACGGCAUCGUAGAUAUAUCAAAGUGUUAGCGGUAUAGGAUGGACCCGCGUCUGAUUAGCUAGUUGGUGAGAUAACUGCCCACCAAGGCGACGAUCAGUAGCCGACCUGAGAGGGUGAUCGGCCACAUUGGAACUGAGACACGGUCCAAACUCCUACGGGAGGCAGCAGCU